AAAAAAAACAAUACAAUUUUUUUCUAGUGAUGAAAAAACAGAUUUUUUUUUUGUAAAAGAAACAAAUCUUGUUUAAAAAAAAAGUGUCCAUUGGCAGCAUAAGGAAUUUUUUAAUUUUUAUCUCAAAAAUUAUGCUGCUUUCAAGUGUCAAAAAGUGAAAUAUAAGGAGUUUUUAAGGAUUUACAAAAAAUACAAUAUUUUAUGGUUUUAUUUUCGAAAAAGUUUCAAAAGUGACUUGUCAGUUUCUUAGUUUUGAUUCUGAUUUUUAAAAUAGCUAGUUUUGAAUAGUCUUUUUUCUGUAAAUAUUGGUUCUUAACUUUCGCCAAAAAUAUGAAUUGUUCUGGACUCUGUUUGGUAAAAAAUAUUCAUAUUUUUCUGAAAAGUUGUGGCUAGUUUUUUGAGGAAGUGCUUUGUUGGAGCGAGUGCCUCAGGAAUCCCAGCUCUAGCAAGUGUUUAGAAAAAAGGCCGACGGUUUUUUUAGUUUUCUGUUUUGGAGUUUGAGACCUUUGAGGUUCUAAAAAUAUGCCAGUUUUUCAACAGAAAGUUAAAGGAGGUUUCUGUGCCUUGGAAUUAGUUCAAAAUUUAUUUAGUUUAUAAAAUUAGAUCAAAGUAUCUAUUAGUUCUCAAGUAGUUUGUAGCCAAUUCUUCGUGUUUUCCAGUUAUGGUUUAAAAUAAAUAAGCAUAAGAUUUUGUAUAAAUUUAUUUAUAAAAUUUCUGACUUUUGAAACUUACUGCUUAGUUUGUGUCUAAUUAUGUAUGUCAUGCACACUGAGAAAAAUACUGAAAAUACUGAGAAAAAUGUUGAAAAAUAGUGGCUUUCAAGAAAAAAUGUUUAAUAGAAUUGUAAUUUAUGUUCAAAUUUUGUGGAGUUUGUAUGGGAUUUUGUGUUUUUUGUUUAGAAAAUAAUAUUCUAUUUAGAAAAGAGACAAGAAAGUUUAUUUUUUAGAAGUAUUUUGAAAACAUUACAAAAGUCUUUAGAAUGUUGGUUUUUAGAGACUUAAAAGUUAAAAAAUAAUAGUAAAUAAAAGUCAGGUAUAUCUUCCUUCUCUUAAUUUAAAUUUUAAAUUGUGCUUAGGAAUUUUUGUUAGAUUCAAUUUUCAUUUUUAAAUGACAAAAUUUUAUUCGAGAGUUUAAGUUUAUUUUUUUAUAAAUUUUCUAAUUAUUUUACUUAGUAUUUUUUCGAAAAGUUGAAAAACAUAUUUUCAAAAUAAACAAAUAAAAAAGUAUUUCAAAAAGGAUAUUUUUGAAAGAAAAACAAUAACGAUCAUGUCCUUUAAGCCCUUCCUAGUACCGUUAGCUGCGUAGCCUUUGUCUUGUCCUUUUGCCCUUCUCCCCUCUUUUUGGCUCGUCCUUUGGCCACAAACUUUUCCAAAACAUAUGGCAGACGUUUGCCGCCCCCUCCGGCCACCCCCGCCUCCCAAGUGUUGCAUUCUGACUAGAUUACGCAUACGCCGCAUUGACCGCUCCGAAGAGAGCGAGAGCCCGCGACAGAGAACGAGAGCUGCAGUUUUGAGUGAAAGAGCGUAAGAGUUAUGCUGCCGCUGCCCCUGCUGCUGCGUUGGCUGCAUUUCGCUGUCGGCGUCGCAGCUGCGUUUGUGGCCGCUCUUUGGCGAAGCGCGUGCGGCGCUCUUAGAAGCGAAAAAGAACAAAAAAAGUACAAAUAAUAGUAAUAAUCCCAAAGAGGCAGGCAGCCAGGCACUUUUAUGCCAUUCGGAUGAGACUCUUUUGUUUUUUUUUUUUUUGGUAAAACGCCGAAGCCCAAGUUCGUUGCCUCUGCUGCUGCCUCUGCCUCUGCCUCAGUCGGUGGCUCUGUCGCUGCCACUGCUACUGCCACUGCUGCUUCUUCUUCUUCUCUCUCCUUUUGGCGAUUUUUGGCCCCCCAAACGGUUUUCGGCUUUUCUGUCGGCUUUGGACUUUCGCAGAGAUUUCACACGCGAUGCGAUUGCAGUUCUUGCAGACACUUUCAUACGUUCGUUCGUGUUCGUUUAUUUUUGUUUGCAUUCUGCCUUAGCCUUUGGAUUCCAAAACCAAAUUCGAAAUAUAUUUAUGGGACUAACGGCAGUUGUACUAAAAAAAACAAGAUACAAAAAAUAAAUCUUUAAAAUUAUCUAAAAUAAAUAAUUAAAGCCAAAAAACACGAUAUUUUCAUUUAUUCGGAACACUACGCGCGCAAUUUUUAUCGUAUUGCAUAAACUCAAACACAACUACAACAACAACAAAAA